rnacentral:lncRNA from 1 species
UUUCUGCACAACAACACGGCUGAAGGACGGGUUGGUGGAGGCAGACUCCGUUUCAUAAGGGCUUAUCCCAAGUUAGAGUUCAGAGGGAAGGGAAUAGAACGCGACUUGUCCACCAAACAAAAUAUGUGUGUUACUACAGUUGUAUGUAGUGGUCAGACAAAAAGAAAAUCAGAACUCCCAAAGCUGGAGUGAACUACUACAAAGUGGUGGUUGUGAACUACUCAACCUGGUUACUGGGAACCAAACUCAGGUCCUCCGCCAAAGGAGCACAUGCACUUAGCCACUGAGUCAUCUCUGAAGUCCCAGAAACCUCUGAAUGCCCAGGUGACAAGACCAAGGCUGAGAGAUUAGGAAAGGGCUAAGAAUCUGAGUCACUGGCUGAGCAAACUACAGGUCAAUGAUGGACCUUCUCAAAAGCAAUACAUAAAUGAUUGAGGAACAAAAGCAUCACAUCAUCAACUUUUGCCCUCCACAACUGCCUACAGAGUAUAGAGAUUAAGUUCAUCACAACUCCUCACCUGCCUGGUUGAUCAGCCCAGCCAUUCCUUCCAUUUAUCUUCUGCAAUCAAGACAAACUCUU